rnacentral:rRNA from 1 species
AACGAACGCUGGCGGCAUGCCUAACACAUGCAAGUCGAACGAGACCUUCGGGUCUAGUGGCGCACGGGUGCGUAACGCGUGGGAACCUGCCCUUAGGUCCGGAAUAACUCCCCGAAAGGGGUGCUAAUACCGGAUAAUGUCUUCGGACCAAAGAUUUAUCGCCUUUGGAUGGGCCCGCGUUGGAUUAGCUAGUUGGUAGGGUAAAAGCCUACCAAGGCGACGAUCCAUAGCUGGUCUGAGAGGAUGAUCAGCCACACUGGGACUGAGACACGGCCCAGACUCCUACGGGAAGCAGCAGUGGGGAAUAUUGGACAAUGGGCGAAAGCCUGAUCCAGCAAUGCCGCGUGAGUGAUGAAGGCCUUAGGGUUGUAAAGCUCUUUUACCCGGGAUGAUAAUGACAGUACCGGGAGAAUAAGCUCCGGCUAACUCCGUG